AUUGAACGCUGGCGGCAGGCCUAACACAUGCAAGUCGAGCGGAUGAAGGGAGCUUGCUCCUGGAUUCAGCGGCGGACGGGUGAGUAAUGCCUAGGAAUCUGCCUGGUCGUGGGGGAUAACGUCCGGAAACGGGCGCUAAUACCGCAUACGUCCUGAGGGAGAAAGUGGGGGAUCUUCGGACCUCACGCUAUCAGAUGAGCCUAGGUCGGAUUAGCUAGUUGGUGGGGUAAAGGCCUACCAAGGCGACGAUCCGUAACUGGUCUGAGAGGAUGAUCAGUCACACUGGAACUGAGACACGGUCCAAACUCCUACGGGAGGCAGCAGAGGGGAAUAUUGGACAAUGGGCGAAAGCCUGAUCCAGCCAUGCCGCGUGUGUGAAGAAGGUCGUCGGAUUGUAAAGCACUUUAAGUUGGGAGGAAGGGCAGUAAGUUAAUACCUUGCUGUUUUGACGGUACCAACAGAAUAAGCACCGGCUAACUUCGUG
rnacentral:rRNA from 1 species